rnacentral:rRNA from 1 species
CCCAGACUCCUACGGGAGGCAGCAGUGGGGGAUAUUGCACAAUGGGGGAAACCCUGAUGCAGCGACGCCGCGUGAGUGAAGAAGUAUUUCGGUAUGUAAAGCCCUAUCAGCAGGGAAGAAAAUGACAGUACCUGACCAAGAAGCCCCGGCUAACUACGUGCCAGCAGCCGCGGUAAUACGUAGGGGGCAAGCGUUAUCCGGAUUUACUGGGUGUAAAGGGAGCGUAGACGGUUAUGUAAGUCUGGAGUGAAAGCCCGGGGCCCAACCCCGGGACUGCUUUGGGAACUGUUUUGCUGGAGUAUGGGAGGGGUAAGCGGAAUUCCUGGUGUAGCGGUGAAAUGCGUAGAUAUCAGGAGGAACACCGGUGGCGAAGGCGGCUUACUGGACCAUAACUGACGUUGAGGCUCGAAAGCGUGGGGAGCGAACAGGAUUAGAUACCCGUGUAGG